AAUGAUUUAAACACAAAUUUCAUCUUCUUGGAUAUUUCUGUAGAUACCUUUAUGAAAUAUGUGUACACAUGUAUUAGAAAAAUUAGAAUACAGUAUGGUGCUAAGUUUAUGGAGAUAUACAAUCAUGCAUUUGAUUUUACAUGACUGUUUUGUUGAAUUUGUUAAAAAUUUUGUAAAAUAAAUGUACAUACAAUGAAGCAUGCUUUUAUAUAGUUUAUGUAGAACCUUUAUUUAAAUGGUAUAGGUUGUUCUUUUAUUUCGACUACAUGUACACUGUACCUUUUUAUUAAUGCAUAAUAUAAUUACAUGUAAUAGUGUAUUUAUGUCCUAAGACAGUGCUUUAAUUAAGAUAACAUUAGUUCACUUUUGAAUUAUCAGUACUGCAAACCAACUUUUACGCCGGGCAACUUUAAUUUUCAAUUAUUCAGUGAAUCACUGGUUUAAUUGAAGCAAAUUAUUUUCAUGACAGGGCCUUGAGUAGGUAAACUUUAACAUUGACAAUAACUAAUUUAAGAUUGCUACCUGGCUAGAAAUAUUGGUGAUUUAUCGAGGCUUUGAUCAGAUUGAUAAGGAACAAGAUGAGAUUUUAUUGCUAUUCAAAUCAUUCUUUCCAUUCCCUUCCAUACUUAAUUUGUGUUCAAGAAAAAUAUGUUUUGUGUGUAAAAUGUACAUGUAUCAAUACCAAUUAUGGAAUUCAUUGAACUUGUAGAUGGGAUAUGAAUACCAUUAACAUGUAUUAACUGAUCAUCUGCAUUGUUGUGUUGAUCCAUUUAUUAAAUGAAAAUUCUCUC
rnacentral:misc_RNA from 1 species